rnacentral:rRNA from 1 species
AACGAACGCUGGCGGCAUGCCUAACACAUGCAAGUCGAACGAACUCUUCGGAGUUAGUGGCGCACGGGUGCGUAACGCGUGGGAAUCUGCCCUUGGGUACGGAAUAACUCAGAGAAAUUUGUGCUAAUACCGUAUAAUGACUUCGGUCCAAAGAUUUAUCGCCCAAGGAUGAGCCCGCGUAAGAUUAGCUAGUUGGUGGGGUAAAAGCCUACCAAGGCGACGAUCUUUAGCUGGUCUGAGAGGAUGAUCAGCCACACUGGGACUGAGACACGGCCCAGACUCCUACGGGAGGCAGCAGUGGGGAAUAUUGGACAAUGGGCGAAAGCCUGAUCCAGCAAUGCCGCGUGAGUGAUGAAGGCCUUAGGGUUGUAAAGCUCUUUUACCCGGGAUGAUAAUGACAGUACCGGGAGAAUAAGCUCCGGCUAACUCCGUGCCAGCAGCCGCGGU